UGCCAGCAGCCGCGGUAAUACGGAGGGUGCAAGCGUUGCUCGGAAUUACUGGGCGUAAAGCGGGCGCAGGCGGCCCAUCAAGUCAGUUGUGAAAGCCCGGAGCUCAACUCCGGAACUGCAGCUGAAACUGAUGAGCUUGAGUACGAGAGAGGAGAGCGGAAUUCCUGGUGUAGAGGUGAAAUUCGUAGAUAUCAGGAGGAACAUCAGCGGCGAAGGCGGCUCUCUGGCUCGAUACUGACGCUCAUGCCCGAAAGCGUGGGGAGCAAACAGGAUUAGAUA
rnacentral:rRNA from 1 species